UCCCUGUGUGUAAUAUAUGAUUAUGGAAGGGGAUGUGCAAGUCUUAUAGAAGCAAACAAAUUUUGUUAUGAUGUGGACAUUGUGUGUCUCAGGCUUCUCUUGGAUUUUUGUUUAGUUGGUGUCCAUGAACUGGAAAUGAUACCCCUUUGGACAAAAGAUAAGCAUCUGAUCAGGCAUUCUUUUAUUUUAGUUAAACUGGAUAAUGUAAUAUGGUUUUGCAUUCUAGUUGCAAAUUUGCUUCAC
rnacentral:lncRNA from 1 species